rnacentral:rRNA from 1 species
CCUACGGGUGGCAGCAGUCGAGAAUCAUUCACAAUGGAGGAAACCCUGAUGGUGCGACGCCGCGUGGGGGAAUGCAGGUCUUCGGAUUGUAAACCCCUGUCAUGUGGGAGCAAAUUAAAAAGAUAGUACCACAAGAGGAAGAGUCGGCUAACUCUGUGCCAGCAGCCGCGGUACUACAGAGGUCUCAAGCGUUGUUCGGAAUCACUGGGCGUAAAGCGUGCGUAGGCUGUUUCGUAAGUCGUGUGUGAAAGGCGCGGGCUCAACCCGCGGACGGCAAAUGAGACUGCGAGACUAGAGUAAUGGAGGGGGAGGCGGAAUUCGUGGUGUAGCAGUGAAAUGCGUAGAGAUCGAGAGGAACACUCGUGGCGAAGGCGGGUUCCUGGACAGUAACUGACGCUGAGGCACGAAGGCCAGGGGAGCGAAAGGGAUUAGAUACCCCAGUAGUA